rnacentral:rRNA from 1 species
AGGACUAACGCUGGCGGCGUGCCUAACACAUGCAAGUCGAACGAGGGGUAGCAAUACCCCUAGUGGCAGACGGGUGAGUAACACGUAGUCAACCUACCUCUUAAUGGGGGAUAACUAGCCGAAAGGUUAGCUAAUACCGCAUACGAUCGUCGAGUGGCAUCACACGACGAUGAAAGGAGCAAUCCGUUGAGAGAGGGGACUGCGUCCCAUUAGUUAGUUGGUGGGGUAAUGGCCUACCAAGACUCCGAUGGGUAGCUGGCUUGAGAGAGCGACCAGCCACACUGGAACUGAGACACGGUCCAGACUCCUACGGGAGGCAGCAGUGAGGAAUUUUCCGCAAUGGGGGAAACCCUGACGGAGCGACGCCGCGUGUGGGAAGAAGGCCUUCGGGUCGUAAACCACUGUCGAGGGGACGAUAUUGACGGUACCCCUGGAGGAAGCCCCGGCUAACUACGCGCUAGCAGCCGC